CUGGGUUCCUUGAUUGAAGUUC
rnacentral:miRNA from 1 species